rnacentral:rRNA from 1 species
AUUGAACGCUGGCGGCAUGCUUUACACAUGCAAGUCGAACGGUAACAGGGUGCUUGCACCGCUGACGAGUGGCGAACGGGUGAGUAAUGCGUCGGAACGUGCCGAGUAGUGGGGGAUAACGCAGCGAAAGUUGUGCUAAUACCGCAUACGUACUGAGGUAGAAAGUGGGGGACCUUCGGGCCUCACGCUAUUCGAGCGGCCGACGUCUGAUUAGCUAGUAGGUGAGGUAAAGGCUCACCUAGGCGACGAUCAGUAGCGGGUCUGAGAGGAUGAUCCGCCACACUGGGACUGAGACACGGCCCAGACUCCUACGGGAGGCAGCAGUGGGGAAUUUUGGACAAUGGGCGAAAGCCUGAUCCAGCCAUGCCGCGUGUCUGAAGAAGGCCUUCGGGUUGUAAAGGACUUUCGGCCGGGAAGAAAUCGUAUGGGUUAAUACCCUGUGCGGAUGACGGUACCGGCAUAAGAAGCACCGGCUAACUACGUGCCAGCCGCCGCAGUAA